rnacentral:pre_miRNA from 1 species
CGAUUAGGAGAAAACUUAGGUACAAUUCCUUAGGUGCUUUUCGUAUGGUUCUUAAUUAAAAAUACAUAUUUUUUGGAUAUAACAAACUUUGAGAAAAUUAUGGAUCUGAGAAAAUCAUGGUAAAUUUAGUUAAGAACCAUACGAAAAACACCUAAGGAAUUGUACCUAAGUUUUCUGCAUUUGAUUA